UCAGUCGACUCCUACGGGGAGGCAGCAGUGGGGAAUAUUGCACAAUGGGGGAAACCCUGAUGCAGCCAUGCCGCGUGUGUGAAGAAGGCCUUCGGGUUGUAAAGCACUUUCAGUAGGGAGAAGGUAGUGUAGUUAACACCUGCAUUAUUUGACGUUACCUACAGAAGAAGCACCGGCUAACUCCGUGCCAGCAGCCGCGGUAAUACGGAGGGUGCGAGCGUUAAUCGGAAUUACUGGGCGUAAAGCGCAUGCAGGCGGCCUGUUAAGUCAGAUGUGAAAGCCCGGGGCUUAACCUCGGAAUUGCAUUUGAAACUGGCAGGCUAGAGUCUUGUAGAGGGGGGUAGGAAUUUCAGGUGUAGCGGUGAAAUGCGUAGAGAUCUGAAGGAAUACCAGUGGCGAAGGCGGCCCCCUGGACAAAGACUGACGCUCAGAUGCGAAAGCGUGGGGAGCAAACAGGAUUAGAUACCCUGGUAG
rnacentral:rRNA from 1 species